rnacentral:tmRNA from 1 species
CCACUUUAAAUUUACAGGAAGCCACCCUAUAUUCGCGUUGUCACGCAGGUGACUAUGGCAAUAAAUGGCCUUUGUAAUAAGCCUAUCGGACCCGGGGGCGGUACCCGGCGCCUCCACCAAAAGCACCGCUUUUGACCAUUUUGCAAAACACGGUGUUUUUGCUGGGGGCGAACUAGGAUCGACGAGGGUGUAAAGAUCGUGCUUUUGCCCGGCAUUGUACCACCGUUAUCGGGCUAAUUGAGUAGUUGCAAAUGACAACUAUGCAGGCUCUCGUCUCGCUGCUGCUUAAGCAGUGCGACUAGCCACUAAAGCCCUAGUCGGUAUGCUCGGCUAGGCGGGGUUCGGGGGCACCUGGCAACAGAAGCCCUCACU